UCCUCUCUCUCUCUCUCUCUCCCUCACAAAAAUUAGUAUCCAAAGAGCCUUUUCUCUUAUUCCAUCUACUCUGCUCGUUCUUCUUGAUUUUGUUCUGAUUCUUGAAUCCAUCUUUUCUUUCAUUCUGGUUUGCUCUGUUCUUGUUCUGUUUUUUACUUUUUGGAUUACCCUUUCCUGGGUUUGCUUAAUUUUCACUUGAAAAAUCUCUUAUUUUCUUUCUUUCAAUCAAAAUAUGGGGUUUUCAAAGAAGACGCAAGUGGAUUCUGGUUUAGACUCGGAAGGGAAAAAAUGGGUAAUCGCUGGAAUAGCUAUUAGGACUUCACUCAAGCCAAUAAGCACAAAACCAAGAGGAAAAGACGUCGACGAUGGUGAUGAAGAAGAGGAGCGUUCUACAACCCCAACAGCGAAAGAGGCAAGAAUACCAGAGAGAUUACCGUGUCCGCCAGCACCAAGGAAGCGACGGCCUUCUUCGAGGUGCAACUACAAUGGUGUUAGGGAGUUCUUUACUCCCCCUGAUUUGGAAUCAGUGUUUAAAUGCUAUGUUGAGAAAGCAAAUUGAGAGACAAGACUUGCACUUUGUUUGGCCUUAAGAGAGGGUUGAGUUAGGGCUUAGAGAUUUUGUAGUGUUUUCACUAUU
rnacentral:misc_RNA from 1 species